UACGUAGGGUGCAAGCGUUGUCCGGAAUCAUUGGGCGUAAAGCGCGCGUAGGUGGCUUCGUAAGUCCGUUGUGAAAGUCAAAGGCUCAACCUUUGAAUGCCGAUGGAUACUGCGAAGCUAGAGUACGGAAGAGGCGAGUGGAAUUCCUGGUGUAGCGGUGGAAUGCGCAGAUAUCAGGAGGAACACCAAUAGCGAAGGCAGCUCGCUGGGACGUUACUGACACUAAGGCGCGAAAGCCAGGGGAGCAAACGGG
rnacentral:rRNA from 1 species